rnacentral:lncRNA from 1 species
GCGCUCCAGGGCGGGCUUGGAAAUGGAGACAAACUCCUCCGAGCCGUUAAGGCUCAGCCGGACAGGGCUUAGGAGUCCCGAGCCCAGUCCUGUUCACCCCCAUUUUAUAGAAAGGGAAACUGAGGCCCAGACAGGGGAAAGUCACUUGCCGAGGUGUUUGCUGCAGACUGCGUUGACCGAACCUGCUUUUUCACAGCAGUCAGACAGCAAGCCCUCCCGUCCCUCCAGGACCCUAGUUCCUGGGGAGGAAGGCGUUCUCAGCGAUAAUGACCAGCAUUAAAGUGCUCCCCGUUACCGGCGUCACUGCCCCAGCCAGUGGAGGCCCCGGAGAGGGACUGAAGAUGUGUCACCUAACUUCUCUGAACCUUCCUCCCUCAAGGAGAACUGAUAAUCCCUAACUCACAGUUCUGUGAGGAUUGAAUGCCUUAAGCAUGCAGGUUAAGUGGCUACUGAAGGCAGUUUUUGUGGACAGAAACUGGUCCCAGCGUCAGAUCUGCGAUGCUGCCCAGGCAUGGUGGUGACCCUCUCUAAACAAGCACACUCAGAAUUUCCCUGGCUCGGCUGGGCGACUCAGAAGAAAACUGGCCAUCAGCUUCUGCCUCAAGCGGGUGCUGUGGCAAGGAAGACAGAGCAUGUGUGUUGUGAACACUCAUUAGAGGAUCAUCCCUGCUGUGCCAGGUGCCAUGGCGCUGGAUGCAGAAAGCAGGACACAUGGAAAGAUGGUGUGUUCACAAAGAAUUUGGAAGAAAGCCAGAUGGUGACAAGAGUGUGUCUCUGAAUGCCCCUUUUGGGGGUCACUAAAAAUGCCCCAGGGUUUUUAGUUAGACCAAAAAGGAGGCUUCAAAGAGAUGACUUCUGAGCCGGGUUGUGAUACAUCUAGGAUGUCAACAGGCAGAGAAAGGGCAGGGACUGGGAGUAAGGAAAGAACAUCUGUUCAAGGCAAAACACUGAUUACCAAAGUUUCUAUCAUCCUUAUGUUGACAACGGACAUAAUUUUAACCUUUUGUAUAAGCCAGACUGUAAAGGAUUAUUAGCAGAAUAAAAGCAUCUAUUGGGCCUGGUGCAGUGGCUCACGCCUGUAAUCCAAGCACUUUGGGAGG